AAUCUCCUACCCGUUAUCCAUCACUUGCCAAAAAGGAGAUUGUCACGGAGAGUGACGAACAAACAUGGACCUUCUUCUUCCGUGCAAUUCCAGCAUUUCGCUCCACCGGAAACCGGGUUUUCAACGGACACGUUCUUCUUUUGCAUCAGAAACCCAUACUGCGCUUAGAUGCUGCCGUCAAACGACGUCUUCAGAGCUCCAAACGCCGGUGGGAGCCACAGGCACGUCCGGUAACUAUUACUCUCCAGCUUCUGUUCCGACGCACAAAGUCACUGUUCACGACCGACAACGAGGGGCGGUCCACGAGUUCCUUGUUCCUGAGGAUCAGUAUAUAUUGCAUACUGCUGAAUCUCAAAAUGUCACACUUCCCUUCGCUUGCAGGCACGGUUGUUGUACUAGCUGUGCUGUACGUGUGAAAUCUGGGCAAAUUAGGCAGCCUGAGGCACUUGGGAUAUCUGCUGAAUUGAAAUCAAAGGGGUAUGCACUUCUUUGUGUUGGAUUUCCAUCAUCGAAUCUGGAAGUUGAAACACAAGACGAGGAUGAGGUGAACAUCCAUAUUUUCAAGACUUUUCUUGCCGUGUAUUGGCUUCAAUUUGGAAGAUAUUUUGCACGAGGACCCAUCGAAAGGGAUGACUACGCCUUGGAGCUUGCCAUGGGUGAUGAAUAAACGACGACAUGAAUAUCUAGUCAGAAGUGAGGACUAUCUUGCAGAGUCCAUGGAUUGAUGGUGACUGGAUAGGUUCUUCUGUCAUGAUCUUCAACGAUACCAGAUUGCCUGGAUAAAGGGAACAUCAGGAGCUCCUUUGAUGAUGCUCUUCCCCUCCAAUGCCAAAUGUGAUUUGGGCUUGUUAAUGGAUCUAAUCCCAAACCCAGUAGAAUGGUUUGUUUAGACUCUGCUUCUCUGAACAGUCAUACUUUUACAUGGGCAAAAUCAUUGUUUAUGUCCUUGAUGUUU